rnacentral:rRNA from 1 species
AGAUUGAACGCUGGCGGCAGGCCUAACACAUGCAAGUCGAGCGGCAGCACGGGUACUUGUACCUGGUGGCGAGCGGCGGACGGGUGAGUAAUGCCUAGGAAUCUGCCUGAUAGGUGGGGGAUAACGCUCGGAAACGGACGCUAAUACCGCAUACGUCCUAUGGGAGAAAGCAGGGGACCUUCGGGCCUUGCGCUAUCAGAUGAGCCUAGGUCGAUUAGCUAGUUGGUGGGGUAAUGGCUCACCAAGGCGACGAUCCGUAACUGGUCUGAGAGGAUGAUCAGUCACUA